ACUGAGUAGGACCAGAGGAAUGACUGUGUGACUCAAAAGAGUUUGCCCAAAUGGUCUUCAUCACUCUUCAUCACUUCAUCACUCUCAAUGGAAACGACAGCAACUCUCAUCUCGUAUCUGUGGUUAUGUGAGAACUUCAAGGUAUGUAUCUGGUCACAUAUUUUGCAUUUACAGUUUCCAGAAACUGGCCAAUAGCUUAACUAUUUGCUUAGGAGUUUUAAAGGAAAGGGACCAUAAAUCUGAGACAUACUGGGCUGAGAACGCACUAUGAAGAGUUUUGUGUCAUGUAUUAACAUUUAUCUUGGACGAGGCAUUGAACAACCAAGCUGACCUCACUAACACCACUGCUUGUCUCAGAAUUGGCACGACAGGCACAUGGACAGGAGCAUAGUAGCAGAGAUAGACAUCCUUCGCCUCAUGGCAAAGGUGGUGGGUGCUAUAGGCUUGAAAUCCAAAUAUUAUACCACCCAGAAGCCAGCUUCUCAGAAUGCAGACAGCCUGCGGCUCACUCAUGCAUUCUAUAGUAGGAAAUCCGAGGGAUGGACUUUCAUAACAACCAUGGGCUCUUGUACAGAGAUCUGCAGCUCUAUGUAAAUGACCCGCUGACCCAGCUGUCAUGUUCUAAAAUCAGUCAUCAGGUUGGCACUGGAAUGUGCUUCCCCUCAGAGGCUGAGAGAUGAUAAACUGUGACCGUGAUGCUGGGCAGGGUUGUACCAGAAAGAUGCUGACCUUUUCUAAAGGGCAGCUUUGCCUUAAACUCUCCCCAUAAGCCUCCAUGAGGCUUGCAUAGAGCCGCACUGCAGUUUAAUA
rnacentral:lncRNA from 1 species